rnacentral:tRNA from 1 species
GCCCGCCUAGCUCAAUCGGAUAGAGCGUCAGACUCUUAU